UACGAAGGGGGCUAGCGUUGUUCGGAUUUACUGGGCGUAAAGCGCACGUAGGCGGUUUGUUGCGUCGGCUGUGAAAACCUGAGGCUCAACCUCAGGCCUGCAGUCGAUACGAGCAGACUAGAGUGUUGCAGGGGAGACUGGAAUUCCUGGUGUAGCGGUGAAAUGCGCAGAUAUCGGAAGGAACAUCAGUGGCGAAGGCGACUUCCUGGACCAAUACUGACGCUCAGGUGCGAAAGCGUGGGGAGCAAACAGG
rnacentral:rRNA from 1 species